GUAUCCGUGGGGUCUUUGGGGGGAUAUGCUCAGGGAUUGUCAAAAUAGGAGUCAGUUACUUAGGAGAACAGUCCAAGCUGAGCAUAGAAAUACAGGUGGAGGGAAACUCGACUCAAUCCAGGUGAAGACUGAGGCCCUGAGAAGGGAAGUAGCAGCUCAGGGAGGCCUCAUUGAGCAUGAGAAGAGAGCAUGGCGAGAACCCAGCUUGCAUGGCUCUUCACCUCCCCCAGCAUGCCCAGAGUGCCAGAUGCCAACACUGGUCUGAUGUUCCAUGUGCAGUAGGAGGACAUGAGUUGGUGCACGGGGACUCAGUGCCAUGAACUAAAAAGCCACUGAACAGUUCCCUAGUGACUGGAGUUAAUCAGAUUUCACCAAAUGCCUAACCACGUUGUGGAAGAGAGUCUACAUGUGGGAGACACUGCUCGCUGCAUCUCCAUUUAAUCUCUUUCUCCUUUGAAGCAACGUAUUUCCCACAGGAUCCCCUGACUUUCUGAGAUUAUGUAUUUUGCUGUUGGGGAGCUUUUUUUCCUCCUCAGUUCUACAAUAAACUCUUUGUUGUUUAACAUUCUAUUAACCACAACCCUCUAGUAACCGGCACAUCUGUAAGUCUCCAGUAUAAUAAUUGUUGUUCAUAACCAUGACCCUGGGGCUCUGCGUGGUCUCAGAUGCUUCCAAGUCAUCAAAGGGAAUGCACUAAAAUGAUUUUGCAUUCCCAGAGCACACAUCAACCAACCACAGAGGGAAGGAGUCCAGAUAAGUGUUAGGUAG
ensembl:lncRNA